rnacentral:tRNA from 1 species
GCAGUGGUGGCUCAGUGGUAGAAUUCUUGCCUUCCACGCAGAAGACCCGGGUUUGGUUCUUGGCCAGUGUA